rnacentral:lncRNA from 1 species
GACAUCUCCAAAUGCCUUUGCUGACUCUGACUUUGAGCAAUCUACCUUCUGUGUCGGGGACCAAGCUGAGCACUUGUGGAAGUUCAGUCAUCUACAUGCACACCAUUUCAACUUGGAUAUCAAUACUUCCCCAGAAAACCGUUGGUUUGGGCUGUGUGCCUCGUAAGGCGCUCUAGCCCUCUCUCAGGCAGCCCAGUGACUCGAGGUUUCUGCUUUGUGAAAUGCCGAGAGGAGAACCCAGUCAGGUGUGUUUGUAGCAUGCCAGAUUCUUGACUGUACAGCUGUAAGCUAACUAAGGCAGGAAAAAGAAUUGGUGAAGCACAGAAGGGCCUGUUCAACUCCACUGUUGGAUGUCACAGAACUAUCUAAGAGG